rnacentral:rRNA from 1 species
GAGUUUGAUCCUGGCUCAGGACGAACGCUGGCGGCAUGCCUAAUACAUGCAAGUCGAACGCACGAAGUUGAAAAGCUUGCUUUUCGACCAAGUGAGUGGCGGACGGGUGAGUAACACGUGGGUAACCUGCCCAUAAGAGGGGGAUAACAUUCGGAAACGGAUGCUAAUACCGCAUAUUUCAAGUGACCGCAUGGUCGCUUGAUGAAAGGUGGCUUUGGCUACCACUUAUGGAUGGACCCGCGGUGCAUUAGUUAGUUGGUGAGGUAAUGGCUCACCAAGACCAUGAUGCAUAGCCGACCUGAGAGGGUGAUCGGCCACACUGGGACUGAGACACGGCCCAGACUCCUACGGGAGGCAGCAGUAGGGAAUCUUCCGCAAUGGACGAAAGUCUGACGGAGCAAUGCCGCGUGAGUGAAGAAGGUUUUCGGAUCGUAAAACUCUGUUGUUAGAGAAGAACAAGGAUGAGAGUAACUGCUCAUCCCCUGACGGUAUCUAACCAGAAAGCCACGGCUAACUACGUGCCAGCAGCCGCGGUAAUACGUAGGUGGCAAGCGUUGUCCGGAUUUAUUGGGCGUAAAGCGAGCGCAGGCGGUUCUUUAAGUCUGAUGUGAAAGCCCCCGGCUCAACCGGGGAGGGUCAUUGGAAACUGGAGAACUUGAGUGCAGAAGAGGAGAGUGGAAUUCCAUGUGUAGCGGUGAAAUGCGUAGAUAUAUGGAGGAACACCAGUGGCGAAGGCGACUCUCUGGUCUGUAACUGACGCUGAGGCUCGAAAGCGUGGGGAGCAAACAGGAUUAGAUAC